CCGACGGUGAGAGGCGAAAGCUGGGGGAGCAAACCGGAUUAGAUACCCGGGUAGUCCCAGCUGUAAACGAUGCGCGUUAGGUGUGUCAGUGACCACGUGUCACUGAUGUGCCGAAGGGAAACCGUGAAACGCGCCGCCUGGGGAAUACGGUCGCAAGGCUGAAACUUAAAGGAAUUGGCGGUGGAGCACCACAACGGGUGGAGCCUGCGGUUUAAUCGGACUCAACGCCGGAAAUCUCACCGGAUAA
rnacentral:rRNA from 1 species